CGAAAACGCUGGCGGCGUGCUUACACAUGACAGAUUCGAACGAUGAAGCUUACUUGCUAGGUGGACUUAGUGGCGAACGGGUGAGUAACACGUAGGUAAUCUGCCCUGCACUUUGGGAUAAGCCUGGGAAACUGGGUCUAAUACCGAAUAGGACACGUCAUCUUUAUGGUGGUGUGUGGAAAGCUUUUGCGGUGUGGGAUGAGCCUGCGGCCUAUCAGCUUGUUGGUGGGGUAAUGGCCUACCAAGGCGUCGACGGGUAGCCGGCCUGAGAGGGUGUACGGCCACAUUGGGACUGAGACACGGCCCAGACUCCUACGGGAGGCAGCAGUGGGGAAUAUUGCACAAUGGGCGAAAGCCUGAUGCAGCGACGCCGCGUGGGGGAUGAAGGCCUUCGGGUUGUAAACUCCUUUCGCUAGGGACGAAGAGUUAUAUUGACGGUACCUGGAGAAGAAGCACCGGCUAACUACGUGCAAGCCCGCCGCGGUAUCGA
rnacentral:rRNA from 1 species